CUUUUAAAUAAAUAAGUGAAAAAUUUCCUUCAGUCUUUAGACCCAUAAUCUUAUCUCAGGAAAUAAUUGCUAUUGAGAAAAUGGGCCAUAUCCUUCAAGACACAUACAUGGUGAUUGAACAUCACUUCACAUUUUCAUAUUUCGUGGACAUUUGUGCCAAUACCUAUUGAUCUAUCUUAAUCCUUUUCAUGGUUGCAUAAUAUUUUGUUAUAUACAUGUAUCACAGUUUACUCAUCAGCUGCUGUAGGCAUUUAGGCUCCUUCUAAUAUUUGCUUUGAGUUCUUUAUAUAAUUAAAAAUUAACCCCCUCAGCCAGGUGUGAGGUCACACCUCUGUGGUGUUACAGGCAGGUCACACCUGUAAUCCCAGCACUUUGGAAGGUUGAGGUGGGAGAACUGCCUGAGUGUGGGAGAUCACCACCAGCCUGGUCACCAUAGCGACACUUUGUCUCUACUAAAAAUUAAAAAAAUAUUGAGCUACACAUUGCACUGUACACCUAUAGUCCCAGCUACUGGGGAGGCUAAGACUGGAGGAUCACUUGAGCCUAGAAUGUUGAGGCUGCAGUAAGCUAUGAUCACACCACUGCACUUUAGCUUUGGUAAGAGCAAGACUGUUUCUUAAAUAAAAUAAAAAUUAGAUGGGAAUAUUGCUGGAGCCCUGGAGGUUGAGGCUUCAGUUAACUGUGAUUGCACCACUGCAGUCCAGCCUAGGCGAUAGAGCAAGACCCUUUUUCUAAAAAUAAAAUAAAAAGUAACCUUCUGUUACAUUUCCCAGUAACACUUUCCCUCCUAUGUUUCUGCUGGAAGCCCUUGCAUUUUGUUUGUUUUUCACAUACCAUUUAAAACUUUUAAGUACUGAUGUAUGUCUGUGUCAUCCCUCUUUUUUCUUUUCUUUUUUUUUUUUUUUUUAAAGAAUGUGUUUUUGUCACUCCAGCUGGAUCUACCAUGAAAGACUUCUGAAUCCAGGAAGAGAGACUGACUGGGCAACAUGUUAUUCAGCUCAACUCGAGCCAUUUCCUGAUUGCAUCAUCAGCAAGGAGCUGGUUAUUGGGCUGUCCAGACCUCCCAAGUGGCACAGAAAUGAGGUGAGGGAGUUUUCCUGCUCCUCCACUCUGUGAGGAGUUGGAAGAUGAUGUUUACUCGUUUGCAGAGAGAGAUGCCUUGUAAGCACCUUAGGAUGGAGGGGACCCUGAUUCCAAUGUCAUUUUUUUCUUUAGAAACAGGACCUUGCCUUGUCACUCAGGAUGGAGUUCAGUGGUCCAAUCACGGCUCACUGUAGCCUCAAACUCAAGCAAUCCUGCCACAUCAGCCUUCCCAGUAGCUGGGACCACAGGUGAGCACCAUGACACUCAGUGAAUCUUGUUGUGAUUUUUUUUGUAGAGAUGGGGCCUCAAGUGUGUUGCCAGAGCUGACCUUGAACUCCUGCACUCAAGGGAUUUUCCUGCCUUGGCCUCCCAAAGUAUUGGUAUUACAGGCAUGAGCCAUUGUGCCCACUGUCUCUGGUUCUUUACCUUCUGCCUCCCUCUUCCACUUUUAAAGAAUGCUUGUAAUUACAUGGACUCUUCUAGAUAUUCCAGGAUAAUCUUGUUUUAAGGUCAGCUGAUUUUCAACAUUAAUUUUAUCUGCACUCUUAAUUCCCCCUUCCUAUGUAAUUGUGCUGUGUAACAUAGGACAUGAACAAUUGGUGGGGGUGGGGGUUAUUACUUUGGCUACCACAGUAACUGUUUUGUGCUAGGUACUGAGCUAAGCACUGGUGAAUUAAGCAUGAAUAACACACUCUCCCUAAUCUCCAUCCAUUCAUGGGAGGAGCACCUCACCUGCCAUGCUCCUGAGAAUCUGGGGAGUCAAGGAAGUCUUCCGUGAGGAGGUGAUGCCAAAGCGGACAAGUGACAGAGGAGCUGAAGCUAGCCAGGAAGAGAGUAGAGGUUUAAGGGGAAGCGUAUUAUAAGCAGAGGGCAUCACCCACUUCAGAGAGUCCCAGAGGAGAAAGAUGAGGCUCAGCUGGACUCCAUAGUAGGUGAAAUGGAGAGGGGCAAGCAGUGAGGCUGCCUUGCAAGGCAGGGCAGAGCAGGGGCUGUUAAGGAGUCUGGACUUAAUCCCGGAGGCAAGGAGAAGUGAUGUAAAUGGGGGAGUAACGUGAUGAGAUUCACGGAUUAGAGACAUGGUUCAGGCUGCUGUAGCGAAGGCACCAGGAGGAGCAGAUGGCUCAGUGGGUGUGCAGGAGACCUCUCACUGAGUUUAGGAAGAGGUUUUUAAAAUAGAAGAAGUUUGAGUAAUUUAAAUGAUGGUGGGAAGGAGCUAAAAGUGGGGGAUAGGUUAAAGAUACAGGAAAGUGGGAGGAAGAACUGACAAGUGAGGUUCCUGAGAGGGCAGGAGAAGAGGAGAUUCCCAUAGGGGGAUUAAUACUUUCUUUUCUUUUUCUAAGACAGGGUCUUACUCUGUCACCUAGGCUGGAGUUCAGUGCAUGAUCUUGGCUCACUGUAGUGUAGACUUCCCAGGCUCAAGGGAUCCUCCCACCCAGACUCCCAAGUAGCUGGAACUACAGGUGUACACCACCACCACACCUGGCUAAUAUUGUUCUUUUUUUUGGGUAGACACAGCGUCUCACUAUGUUGCUCUGACUGGUCUCCAACUCCUGGCCUCAAGCGAUCCUGCUGUCUAGGCUUCCGAAAUUGCUGGGAUUACAGGCAUGAGCCAUAAUGCCUGACCUCUGCUAGUUCUGUAUUCUCUAGAGAUGUCUUUACUUCGUGCUAGUGUGUCCCUCAUUAUGCUGAUCCUCUGUUAAAAUUAAUACCUUUUUUUCUUUUGAGAUGGAGUUUCACUCUUGUUGCCCAGGCUGGAGUGCAAUGGCGCUAUCUCGACUCACCGCAAUCUCCGCCUGCCGGGUUCAAGUGAUUCUCCUGCCUCAGCCUCCUGAGUAACUGGGAUGACAGCCAUGUGCCACCAUGCCCAGCUAAUUUUGUAUUUUUGGUAGAGACUGGGUUUCUCCGCGUUGGUCAGGCUGGUCUCGAACUCCUGACCUCAGGUGAUCUGCCUGCCUUGGCCUCCCAAAGUGCUGGGAUUACAGGCAUGAGCCAUUUCGCCUGGCCAAAAUCAAUACUUUUAUAUUAAAUUGACAUAUAUGUAUUGUUUUUCUUUUUGAUACCGGGUCUUCACGCUGUCACCCAGGCUGGAGUGCAGUGGCACAACCUCUGCUCAUCGCAGCCUCCACCUGCCAAGCUCAAGCAAUUCUCCUGCCUCAGCCUCCCACGUUGCUGGGAUUACAGGUAAGUCCCACCACGUAGCUAAUUUUUGUGUUUUUUGUAGAGAUGGGAUUUCACCAUAUUUCCCAGACUGGUCUCAAACUCCUGAGCUCAAGGCAAUCCACCCACCUUGGCCUUCCAAGUGCUGAGAUUACAGGUGUGAUCCACCUUGCUCAUUCCAGUUUAAACUUUUGAGUUGUUUGUGUCUCCUGAUUGGACUCCUACAAAUACAGAAUUGAUGCUAGGAAGGGUACCAGGAGAUAGACCCACACAGAUAGGAUUUGGGAAUAGGUUUGGUUAUCCAAGGAGCAGUGCUGAACUCCUUCCUAAUGGGAUAUAGGAUGCUGGUGAUUUCCAGGAAGUGACCUCACAAUGACUCAAGCUACCACUUACUAUUGAUUGUGGUGAAAUGCCAGGUGAAGCGUAUGCCCUGUGAGCUUAGGGGUGCUACAGUUGACCACUGCCACAGUAAAGAUGACUCUGAAGAAUGGCAUGGGAUGGAUCCUUCGAAUGCACUUGAGCAGCGGUCUCCAACCAAAGGCCAUAGAACCGAAGGUGAGCAGCAGGCGAGUGAGGGGAAACUUCAUCUGUAUUUCUAGCCCCUCCUAUCGCUUGUAUGACCACCUGAGCUCCAUGUCCUGUCAGAUGAGCAGCAGCAUUCGAUUCUCAUAGAAGCACGAACCCUGUUGUGAAGCAUGCAUGCGAGGGAUCUAGGUUGUGCACUCCUUAUGAGAAUCUAAUGCCUGAUGUUCUGUCACUGUCUCCCAUCACCCUAGAUGGACAGUGUCGUUGCAGGAAAACAAGCUCAGAGAUCCCACUGAGUCUACAUUAUAGUGAGUUGUAGAAUUAUUUCAUUAUAUAUUACAAUGUAGUAAUAAUAGAAAUAAAGUGCACAGUAUAUGUAAUACAUUUGAAUCAUCCUGAAAUUAUUCCCUCCACUCCCAGUCUGUGGAAAAAUUGUCUUCCACACGUUCACUCUGUUUUUUGGUAGAGACAGGGUCUUAAUAUAUUGCUCAGGCUGAUCUCAAAUUCCUGGCCUCAAGUAAUAUACCUCUCGGCCUCCCAAAGUGCUGAGAUUACAGGCGUAAGCCACCACCCUCAACCAAGACUUAUUCCUUAAACCAAAUAAAAAUUAAGUGAGAUGACUUGAGACCAGGUGGUCGAGGCUGCAGCGAGCCCUAAUUGCACCACUGCACUCCAGCCUAGGUGACAGAAAAUAAAAAUAAAAUAAAAAUAAUGUCUCAAAAAAUAAAA
rnacentral:lncRNA from 1 species